UAUCAGUUGUAUUUGUAUUGGCAGGUGCAGAAUUGAAAAAAGAAGAAAAGAAGGAUAUUCAUUGCCACCAAACCCUCCAUAUAUAUAGUAGAUUGGCUGGGUCAGAUCUGGCACUUACAAGCGAGCUUUCCCUGCCAUUGGUAUCAGAAGGUGCCCCUUUCCCUUGCACUCAGUCUACAAUAUUUCAGAGGUUGCAAAUUUCAAGCGUGAGAUCAUACAUGCAUCCUCACCUGGAAUCAUGGUGUACAUUUAUUUUCUUGUUCUUUCGGUGGUAAAGUAUAGACGACAAUUACCAAAACUAUUUUGUAGGUAUAUCUUCGGUGCUCUUAUCAUCGCUAAAUUAUUGUCUGUCCCCAUUGUGAUGUCUUACCACACUCAUGUUUUCAUGUGAAUGACCAAGUUUUUAGCAUAUAAUGUGUCAGAUAUGGUGUUGGAUUCAUAUAUAACUGCUUGUCAGAAAAUAAAAUAUCAUUUUUGAAGGCUGAACAUUGUUUUAUUUUGGUAUGCAGAUAUAUUCCAAGAUACACCUUCAGUUGGUUGGUGAAAGCCAUGUGGGAUCAAAGUUUCUAGUUAACAUAUUUCAUCUGCUAUAAUUUCAUUCUAAUUGUUCAACUUUCAUUUUGCAGCCCCUGAUCACCCUAUUUUUGACUUCGUGUUCAUCUGUUUCUCCAAUAUCACUAUAAUUAUAUUGCAGUGGAGAUAUGUAGGCUGGCUAUUGAUAGUGUAUUAAAGGCCUCUCAAAGUAGUGAAUGAAGGUAGUGGAGAUCAGCCCCAGUUUUGCAUGUCUCCUGUCAUAUGAGAUAAAUAGGUUAUGAACUUGUAAUUAUGAAUUGUUUAGUAGAUUGUACUUGAAGU